UACGAAGGGGGCUAGCGUUGUUCGGAAUUACUGGCGUAAAGCGCGCGCAGGCGGCUAUCCAAGUCAGUGGUGAAAGCCCGGAGCUCAACUCCGGAACUGCCAUUGAAACUGUUUAGCUUGAGUAUGAGAGAGGUGAGUGGAAUUCCCAGUGUAGAGGUGAAAUUCGUAGAUAUUGGGAAGAACACCGGUGGCGAAGGCGGCUCACUGGCUCAUUACUGACGCUCAGGCGCGACAGCGUGGGGAGCAAACAGG
rnacentral:rRNA from 1 species